rnacentral:rRNA from 1 species
AGGGCCGCGGUAAUUUGACUGUGCAAAGGUAGCAUAAUCAUUAGCUUUUUAAUUGAAAGCUGGAAUGAACGGCUAGAUGAGAAAUAUACUGUCUUUUUAUAUCUAAUGGAAAUUAACUUUUAAGUGAAAAGGCUUAAAUUUUUUGGGGGGACGAUAAGACCCUAUAAAACUUAAUAUUAAUUUAGUUAGAAUUAAAACUUAAGUUUAACUUAUUUAAUCAAAUUUAAUAUUUUGUUGGGGAGACAUAGAUAUAAUUUUGUAACUGUCUAUUAAAAAUUUUAUAUUUAUAAUUACUUCAUGAUCCUCUAUUAGAGAUUAAAAGACUAAGUUACUUUAGGGAUAACAGCGUAAUUUCCUUUGAGAGUUCCUAUCGACAAGGAGAGUUGCGACCUCGAUGUUGAAUUAAGGUUUCAGAAAGGUGUAGUCGUUUUUCUAGUAGGUCUGUUCGACCUUUAAAAUCUU